GUUUUUCGUAAUACCUUUCAUGAACUGCUGAUUUAGAAGUGUAAGCCUAACUUCUGAAGGCACUUAUCAGUCUCAGUCUGGGAAGUAUUGCUUCACUGGAAAACAUCAACGCAGAACUGGGUACUUAGAAAAAAACAAACUAACUUUCAUUUUUCUCUCAGUGUUAACCUUAUAAAGUUAUUAUGGUACAUUUUCAAGAAGUAACAAACACACGAAAGCCAUGGAUAUCUGUUCAUUUGAAAGAUGUUAAUGAGAAAUGAAUCUUAGAAGGAAGUAUUGGAUUUUGCAAAUUUUGAAAAUUAAUUUAGAAGAAAGGAAUUAUUCAGAGAGAUGAGAGAGGAGAUUUUGCUGAAGUAGAAGUACACAAAAGUCAGGUGCAUUCAUAAUGAUGCUGGGAGAUAAAACCCCUCUUUCCUUUCUACACACUGCUCUAUCUACACAUUGCAUUUUGGUUUAGAGGUCUCUGGUUGGAGCAGAGGGCUGCUUCAGUGAGUUUAGAAGGUGGCAUCUGUUUAAGUAACAGAUGUCCGUGUCACCAAGGUGCUAUGUUCUCACUUUUUAUAUAUGGGGAAAUUGCUGCUGAAAGAGUUUUAUUGUCUUUAUGCAAAUGAAAAUAUCAUAUUCUUCUCCUUAAAGGGUCCCUUUAACCUAAUGUGGAUCUGCAAUAACCAUAAAGGAUUUCAACUUCAUCAUUUUAAAAAAAUUUGGAUUCAGAAAUAGAAAAGUAUUACACCAUACAGAGGUACAAAGCAAAAUGAUGCUAAAGGAUAUAAUUGCCACUCAUCUCAUUUUAUUAGAAUCUCUACACAUGUUGGGACCGAGUUCUUAUCCAUCCAUUGUCCCUCCAGGAAUACCAAGGAGGAAAAGCAGUGGAAAUUUACAGGCACUAAAGGACCCUAUCAAAUGCACUGGACCGAUCAAAAGAACUGGGAGUAUGGUGUGGCACAACCCAAAUUUAC
rnacentral:lncRNA from 1 species